GUCUACCGCCACGCCGCCCUGCGCAAGCCCCAUCCCGUCCGCUUAGCGGAAGCUAAGCAGGGUCGGGCCUGGUUAGUCCUUGGAUGGGAGACCACCUAGGAAGACCAGGUGCUGUAGACC
rnacentral:rRNA from 1 species